CUUUCCCACAUCACAAGCUGAUAAUAAUGCAUCCAGCCCCAACAAGCUUCAGGAGGACUUAGAGACAUCAAGUAUGCUUGCUAAUGUGAUGGAAUUGGAAAGUCAGAGUUUCUACACUUAAGGAUUGGAGGCUAAAGAAGGUAUCGAAUGACACCUACAUGGCUUCAACCUGAAAAUGCAUCUCCCAAUUAUUGAGGACGGAGGAAGCUCACAACCCUCUCUGUCAUCUUCUUCCUCUUGGUCUCCUCAUCCAUCUCUUCCCCGUCCAAGGAUUCCUGGACCUUACUGACAAGGUACACAGUAAUGGGGUGUCUCCUCUUGUUACCUCCUGAAUGAGUCCUCUUCU